GAUGAAGAACGCAUCGAAAUGCGAUAAGUAAUGUGAAUUGCAGAAUUCAGUGAAUCAUCGAAUCUUUGAACGCACAUUGCGCCCGCCAGUAUUCUGGCGGGCAUGCCUGUUCGAGCGUCAUUUCAACCCUCAAGCCCCCGGGCUUGGUGUUGGGGAUCGGCGUGCCCUCGCGGCGCGCCGUCCCCUAAAUCUAGUGGCGGUCUCGCUGUAGCUUCCUCUGCGUAGUAGCAACACUCGCACUGGAUCGCAGCGCGGCCACGCCGUUAAACCCCCCACUUCUGAAAGUUUGACCUCGGAUCAGGUAGGAAUACCCGCUGAACUUAAGCAUAUAAUAAGCGGAGGA
rnacentral:misc_RNA from 1 species